rnacentral:rRNA from 1 species
UGUACACACCGCCCGUCACACCACGAGNGUUUGUAACACCCGAAGUCGGUGAGGUAACCUUUUAGGAGCCAGCCGCCUAAGGUGGGAUAGAUGAUUGGGGUGAAGUCGUAACAAGGUAGCCGUAUCGGAAGGUGCGGCUGGAUCACCUCCUU